GUCCGCACCGUAAACGAUGAUUACUCGAUGUUUGCGAUAUACAGUAAGCGUCCAAGCGAAAGCGUUAAGUAAUCCACCUGGGGAGUACGCCGGCAACGGUGAAACUCAAAGGAAUUGACGGGGGCCCGCACAAGCGGAGGAGCAUGUGGUUUAAUUCGAUGAUACGCGAGGAACCUUACCAGGGCUUGAAAGUUAGUGAUCGUCUCCGAAAAGAGAUUUUCCGCAAGGACACGAAACUAGGUGCUGCAUGGCUGUCGU
rnacentral:rRNA from 1 species